rnacentral:rRNA from 1 species
UACGAAGGGGGCUAGCGUUGCUCGGAAUCAUUGGGCGUAAAGCGCGCGUAGGCGGCCUCGUAAGUCCGUUGUGAAAGUCAAAGGCUCAACCUUUGAAAGCCGAUGGAUACUGUGAGGCUAGAGUCCGGAAGAGGCGAGUGGAAUUCCUGGUGUAGCGGUGGAAUGCGCAGAUAUCAGGAGGAACACCAAUAGCGAAGGCAGCUCGCUGGGACGGUACUGACGCUAAGGCGCGAAAGCGUGGGGAGCGAACAGG